GACGAACGCUGGCGGCGUGCCUAAUACAUGCAAGUCGAGCGGUCCCUUCGGGGAUAGCGGCGGACGGGUGAGUAACACGUAGGCAACCUGCCUGUAAGACCGGAAUAACUAUCGGAAACGAUAGCUAAGACCGGAUAGCUGGUUUUCUCGCAUGAGAGAAUCAUGAAACACGGGGCAACCUGUGGCUUACAGAUGGGCCUGCGGCGCAUUAGCUAGUUGGUAGGGUAACGGCCUACCAAGGCGACGAUGCGUAGCCGACCUGAGAGAGUGACCGGCCAAACUGGGACUGAGACACGGCCCAGACUCCUACGGGAGGCAGCAGUAGGGAAUCUUCCGCAAUGGACGCAAGUCUGACGGAGCAACGCCGCGUGAGUGAUGAAGGUCUUCGGAUCGUAAAGCUCUGUUGCCCUAGACGAACAGCAAGGAGAGUAACUGCUCUUUGUGUGACAGUAUAGGAGAAGAAAGCCCCGGCUAACUACGUGCCAGCAGCCGCCGUAA
rnacentral:rRNA from 1 species